UACAGAGGUGUCAAACGUUGUCCGGAAUUACUGGGCGUAAAGGGCGCGUAGGCGGCCUUAUAAGUCAGAUGUGAAAGCUCUGGGCUCAACCCAGGAAUUGCAUCUGAUACUGUAAGGCUUGAGUUCGGUAGAGGAGGGCGGAAUUCCAGGUGUAGCGGUGAAAUGCGUAGAUAUCUGGAGGAACACCCGUGGCGAAGGCGGCUCUCUGGUCCGAAACUGACGCUGAGGUGCGAAAGCUAGGGUAGCAAACAGG
rnacentral:rRNA from 1 species